UGCAAAAUUUACUAAAGAGAGGAGCUUUUUGGGGGGGGCUAGAGUGGCUGGUUGUUUCACUAGAUACCUGGUUGCUCUCUCAAAUCCCUGACUUUUUGUCACCCAGUCACCUCCAGAAAAUAAGCCAGGCAUAAAGUACAUCCUGUUUUUAGGAAGACAAGGUUGAAAGAAGAAUGGAAGUCACUGAGGCUUCACUGCUCACUUCUCAGAGAUCACAAGAAAAUUUCUGGACCCGACACCAAACCUCCCUAGUCAUGAUCUUAGUGGGAGGAAUAGCGUUUAUAAGUGGAUCACUUAUUGCAUUAUUUUUUGCCACUAGCUACAUUUAUGAAUAUUUUAUGUGGGGACCACUUUGUCUUUCUUUUGGCCUCUGUACUGUAGCUACUGGGAUCAUAAUGAUGACCAUAGAGGACAUGAAUUUGUGGCUACCUUUUAGAGUUGGUGAGCACACCUCUUUCAUGAUGAGGACUGCAACCCGAGCUUCCACUGCAACCCGAGCUUCCACUGCAACCCGAGCUUCCACUGCAACCCGAGUUUCUGCCGCCACCCAGACUGCAACCCAAGCUUCCACUGCAACCCGAGUGUCUGCCGCCACCCAGACUGCAACCCAAACUUCUGAUGAGGAUUAAGCUUCUUUACAUUUUAAAAUUCAUGAUCAUCUAAACAUACAAUAACUUCACUGUGGCCAAAUUUGCAUGAAUGUUCAACUUUGUACAGAAUCUGCAUCAAAACUAGGCUCUUUGCCCUUUUCCCAGAGAGUGACUCUAAUUAUUCACUUAGAAAAGCAAAGCUUGAGAGAUUAUAAAACAUGAAAUUCUUAUGACAAGACUGGAGCAACAGAUAGGGACCACAGUACAGGACGUAGUGCCUGAGAGAGGAAGUUAGAAAAUAAACACAGAAUUGACGAGAGAUUGGGAGCCCCAAAAGGCAUUACAUACACUUUUAUGUCCUCCAGUGCCUCUAAACCCAAAUAUCCACAUGUCAUCAAAGUCAUGGUUAGGCUACAGGUUGAAGCUCAGGAGGACCCUAAAUCUUUUCUGCAAGUUAUCAUGGAGAUGUUUGUAAAACUCAUUUUCAUCCUUGCUGGAAUGGCACUGUGACCAGGACAAAUCUUACUAGGAGUUCCCAGGUCCUUAAAAACUUGGUUGAUCUGGUCAAUCUCUGAUUUCCUUGGAAACAGGAAUUUCUAAGUUAACAGCUCCGCAAUACACGGCCUAUUGACUCCAUGAUUGUUGCAGUGGAAUAUUCUGUAUUUCUUAGUAACAGCUUUGGGCCCCAGUACUAUAGAGUCAACACCACCAGCAUUAAAGCUAUAUAUUCUCUGGACAACCCCAAAUCACCAAUUUUUUAAUUGUCCAUUGAGGAGCAGGUUGACCUUCAGGUGAAGGAUCCAGUUGUACUGGAAGAUGCUUCAUCCUUGACACGAAUCUUGGUCAUCAGAGUUUUUACUUUCCCUGGAAGGAAGGACUGCUUCAUUGUCUCCAGGACAUUCCUGAGAUCAUCCCUGAGGUCAUCUUCCACAUAAUCUUUAUUAUUUAUGUUUUGUCCAUAUUGCUGCCCAUCUUGAUCUCCCAGACAAGUGAUAAUGUUUAUAUGCUGAGCUUUCAUACUAUUGUAUUAAUUUCUCUGAGUCGGAUAAUCAUUUCUAUUUCCAACCAUUUCAGAGACACAAUUUCAUUAGUCUUUUUAUCCUUUGGUUUGUGACUUUGUCACAACAUGUGACUUCGUCAUUCCUAUUCAGAUUCUGGUAUACUUCUAUAUUCUUACAAUCCUGAGGGGAAGCAGGUUUUGGGGGAGAUCCUCCUUCAGCUCAAUAGAAGAUUAAGGCUGGAGAGUUGGGAUGUAAUCUUUAUGCGAUAUAGGGCUGGCCUGCAGCAUCCCCUCUGUUCCCCCUAAUCCCUUUCUCUAACACCUAACAUAGCUUCUCUUCUCUCAUUCUUCCUCUUCUGUCUCUUUUACCCUCUCCUCUUUUACCCUGACCUACUUCAUUCUGUUAAAUGAUGUGAUGCCCACUUUCUCUUUCCUUUUCUUACCUUUCCUGUGAGGAGCUUUUAUUUUCUUUAUGUGACCAUUUGCUGGGAUGUUUUGAAGGUCAGUUAUCUUUUUUUCAUCUUUAUCUCCUAUAGAAUCUGUCUUCCUGUGAGAUGGAUUUCUGAUUAUCUCGAUAUGAUAUUCUCAUCCUCAUGUCUAAAAGGAAAUCCACCUUAGAUUUCCCAUCACCAGAAUUUUUAAUGUUUUAUCUCUGCCUUUUCCUUAUUUCUCUCUUCUCUUCUUUUCCUGAAAACAUUUCACCUAAAGUUUUUAAUUUCCAUAAAUCCUCAUCUUCACUCAUCUGAGGAAGAUACCUGCCACCACCGGAAAGACAGCUGUUGCCCACCCAGAGACUGAGGAAAAGCAGCUGAAGAAGGGUCGCUUCCAAGUUUAGCAUGAUCUGGUGAUGUUGGAUGAAAGCUUUUUCUUUUUUCUUGUUCUUUUUAAACUUUCUCUUGCAUGAAGUU